rnacentral:misc_RNA from 1 species
GGAGGAUGCUGGAGACUCUUCUCACAAGCAUGAUAAAAGAAGCAACCAUUCUCAUCGACAGGACAGGUCAAUAAGUCGAGAGCGCUCAUCUGGAAGACAGGAGAGGUCCAUGGACAUGGAAGAUUUCUCUCAUAGACAGAGAACACAUGAAAAGAAACGAGGUGAUCGAAGAUCCCCCAGCCAUGAUUAUUCAUCAGAUAGGAGUUC